rfam:Schistosoma curassoni strain Dakar, Senegal genome assembly, scaffold: SCTD_scaffold0004374
AUCCAGCUGAAAGUCCCAAAUAGGACGAAACACGCAUUCUGGAU